rnacentral:lncRNA from 1 species
AACGGUGGAGACGGUGAAAUGCGCAGAGAUAGGAAUAGAACACCAACGGCGAAGCACUCUGCUGAGGACGAACACUAGCUGGAGGGAGGACGAAAGUAGGGAGCGAGAAAUGGGAUUAGAUACCCCCAAGUAGUAUUCCCCACCACCUAGCCAGUACAGAUGGAUAUAAUAUAAAAUAAUAAAUAAAAAGGAAAAAAAAAAAUAAAAAAAAAAAGAAGAAAAAAAUAAGAAAUAAAAAAAAUAGAAAAAAAUACAAAAAAGUAAAAUCGAAAAAAAAAUAAAACGCUGUUGCGAUACGACCCGUGCAGUGCUGGUAGCUAACGCGUUAAGUAUCCGCUGGCGGAGUACGUUCGAAAGAUGACAAAAACGAAUUGACGAGGGCACCGCACAAGCGGUGGAGCAUGUGUUAUACAGAUAAGCGAAGACUUACAGGGCUUGACAUGGCGAAUCAUCUUAAAGGCAGAGGGGUGAUUCGGGAACGCCGCGACACAGUGGCUGCAUGCUUGUCGUCACUCGAGAUGCCGUAGGUGAGGGAUUUAAAUCCCGCAAAACGAACAGCAACCCCGUGUUUAGUCCAUCAAUUGAAGAGUUUGGACCCUGAAAACAGAACCGUGCCAGAGUGAUAGAAACCGGAGGAGGUGAGGAUGAGUCAAAGUCAUCAAUGCCACCUUAUAAUAGCCACUGGGCAAACACACGUGCUACAAACAGGAGACAAGAGAGCGAUCCCGAGGGUGAGCUAA